rnacentral:tRNA from 3 species
GGAGGAGUAAUCAAGCCUGGCCAAAGUAAGCACUAUGUGCUUUUGGCUCAGGAGUUCGUGGGUUCAAAUCCCACCUCCUCCA